UGCCAAUAAGCAGUGAUCAGUUUCUUUUGUUUGUUUUUCUAUUGUUUACCUACUUUAUUAGAUGAUGACUUACCUCCAAAACGCUUUAAAACUUUCGUUUAUAAUUCUAAGUGUGUUUAUAAUUAAAGAGCUACAGUGAAAUAAAAUGAAUUCUUCAAGAAAGGCAGCACCCAUGACAAAAGAUGAGACGAUGAUUCUAGCAGAACUUGUGGCGGCGAAAAAACAUUUCAAUAAUAAGGCAACAAAUGCCACAAACAAUAAAUUGAAGGAGCAGGCUUGGCAAACCCUUGUAAAUGAUUUUAAUUCGUCGAUUCGUCGUUUCCCACGAACUCCAUCGCAGCUUCGACUAAAAUGGGAAAACUUAAAGAACGCUACGGCAACAUAAGAAACAACCUUAGUAAGGCUGGAGGUGGUAAGGAUUGCAGAUGAAAUUUUGGAUAAAGCAUGCACUUUGUUGUAGGUCACAUAUAAUAUUUUUAACACUUUUACAGCCAAGAGGAAACAAGAUGGAAGAAAAGAAAUGCAAGGCUAGCAUAGGGACAAUGCAUUAGCAGAAUAUCUAAUAGCAAAAAAGAGACUUGACUUGGAAAAUAAAGAAAAGGAGGUUGUUGUAGCAAAAGUUAAGUUAGAUUUAGAUAAUGCUAGUUUAAAAAAUAAAAAAAUUACUUAAAAGGAAUAUUAAAUUUCAUAAAUUAAGUAGGCAAUAAUAAUUUUAUGUUAGAUAGUUUUUUAAGUAUAUGUACAAAUUCUAAAUUAUAUAUCUUGCAUGUACUAACUACCAUGUAAUUAUCAUUUUGGAAAAUAAAAAAUAGUCAAAUUA